UCCAGGUCAAAAUCAACAAGACCAUCUGUGAAUUAAGGCGCCUGUUCCUGGUCCAGGACCUGGUGGACUCCAUCAAGCCUGGUGAAGCAGACGUGGAUGACUCGUGUUCACUGCCAGCUCCACUGCGACCCGGUUCUUCUGCCCACAGGAAACUGCAGAGGGUCUGAGGCAGAAUUUUUCCCAGCAGUCAGUGCUGCUGGAGGCCUGACCAGCCUAAUGACAGACGUCACCCAUUUCUUCUGUCACGUAGCAAAAUGCUAAUAUCAAAACCAAAAAAGAAGGGAUGGACAGCAGAGCCUGUAAAGGGUUGGAGCCGGGAGUGAUGUCACCGGUGUGGCGCCUGCAGGCUGUGGUCUGACACGUGCUGACCUGGUGUUGUCUGGGCUGAGGAACGUGACUGCAGCGGGUCUCACUGGAAGGUGGCCUUCACCCUCCUCAGUGUGUCCUGGAUCCUCCGCGACUGACGCUCACUCGACUGCUGGAAGUUGGCAUCGUUGUCGGCAGCCAAGAGGUGGAUGUCGGAGGUGGCAAGUCGGGCGAUGCGGCGGCGAAGGUAGGCCUGCAGGUCCCGGUCUGGGCUGUAGGGGUACGCCACCUCCUGGAAGGCAUGGACCUGGCUGACAACCUUUGCUAUCCUCCUAGAAGCAAUGAUGGAUGGACAGAAACGGGGACACAUUAGAAGUCGCACAUUGUACCUGUUUUAUUCUGAGCAGCAGCUUCAGCUCUGUCUGUGACCUGAUUUGGACGGAGCUGGGCUAACAGCGUCCACGGCAACCAGCUGUGUCUCUGCUGGAUCUCCUGACCCCAGCAUCUGGCUGCACCCAGUCACCUCUCAGUAUCUGGCCUGAAACCUCUUUCUCAAUCAAACCCCUUCCCACAGGCGCCAUCUGCUGCAGCGCUGGCCCCCUACCAUCAACCCAGAUUCAACAGCUGUGCCACCGCCGUCCCACCGCCACUCGUUGUGACCUCAGCAUCUGGUCAGCCAUAUUGGAAUGUGGAAGGACACAGAAACGUGUCCUCUCAGUGAGAUGGCCAACUUUAUGCAGGAUGUGUGAAAUAAUUUAGAGUUAAUGACGCCAACAGUUUGUGUUUUUUGUGUUGGUACCAGGCUAAUUUCAGUGGAUGGAUGUUUGACAAGC
ensembl:lncRNA